rnacentral:misc_RNA from 1 species
AAAACCCACCAAACUGUUCUUAUUUUCAAGCCCAAUUUAAUUUAACCACUAAAAUAUAGUAAUAUAAUCGCUUGGAUUCUGCAGACAUGGCCGCUACUUCUGGUGCUCUGCUUAAUGGGUUGGGAUCUUCCUUCUUGUGUGGAGGGAAGAGAACUCAAGCCUUGCUGGGUUUUGGAGGAAGUAAAACGGGAAGUGGUUCAAGGAAGUUUGUGAUUGUGGCUGCUGCUAAACCAAAGAAAUCUUGGAUCCCUGGUGUUAAAGCUGGUGGCAACUUCGUUGACCCUGAGUGGCUCGAUGGCUCGCUUCCAGGUGACUAUGGAUUCGACCCACUAGGCUUAGGCAAGGAUCCAGCAUUCCUCAAAUGGUACAGAGAAGCAGAGCUUAUCCAUGGGCGGUGGGCUAUGACUGCCGUGGUGGGAAUCUUUGCAGGACAAGCCUGGAGUGGCAUCCCCUGGUUUGAGGCUGGUGCUGAUCCUGGUGCCAUUGCACCCUUCUCGUUUGGCUCUCUCCUAGGAACUCAGCUUCUGCUCAUGGGAUGGGUGGAGAGCAAGAGAUGGGUGGAUUUCUUCAACCCCGAUUCACAGUCGGUGGAAUGGGCAACUCCAUGGUCAAGGACUGCAGAGAACUUUGCUAAUGCCACUGGAGAACAGGGAUACCCGGGAGGGAAAUUCUUUGAUCCAUUAGGGCUUGCAGGGACAAUAAAGAAUGGAGUUUACAUUCCUGAUGUGGAAAAGCUUGAUAGACUCAAAGUUGCAGAGAUUAAGCAUGCUAGGCUUGCCAUGGUUGCCAUGUUAAUUUUCUACUUUGAGGCUGGUCAGGGAAAGACCCCUCUUGGAGCUCUUGGGUUGUAAAAUUUAUGAAAGAAAUUUAUAUUAAAUGUGAAUGUAGAUACAGUGUUUCAUUUAGAGGACAAUGAGGAAGGAAAUGUCAUCUGAUAGCCAUGAGUAAUGAGUUCCCUCAAGUAUAAUUCAAAAUUCUUUUGGCUUUGGCUUGCAUUUGCUAGUCAUGAAUUAAUUCUACCUCUGGUAGAUGAUAAAGAUGCUAGAG